rnacentral:rRNA from 1 species
AAAUAUUCCGUGACCGUAUGCAGAGGUUGAAGUCGCUGUGACGUCGAGUCGGAUGGGGGUAGGCUAAUUAGAUUGCCUCAGGGCGUUUAUGAUCCCGAUACCCUAUAGGACUCGGCCAAGAAAAGCCAGCGGCGGACGACGUAUACGACCGUACUAAAACCGACACAGGUAGGCGAGAUGAGUAUUCUAAGGCGCUCGAGAGAACUCUCGUGAAGGAACUCUGCAAAUUGGCCCCGUAACUUCGUGAUAAGGGGCGCCCUACUCCGGUAGGGCCGCAGUGAAAAGGGUCUAGCGACUGUUUACUAAAAACACAGGUCUGUGCCAAGGCGUAAGCCUAAGUAUACAGACUGACGCCUGCCCGGUGCUGGUAAGUUAAGGGAGAGGGUUAGCCGUAAGGUGAAGCUCGCAACCGAAGCUCCAGUAAACGGCGGCCGUAACUAUGACGGUCCUAAGGUAGCGAAGUUCCUUGUCGGGUAAGUUCCGACCUGCAUGAAUGGCGUAACGACUGGACCACUGUCUCCACGAGAGACUCGGUGAAACUGUAGUUGUCGUGAAGAUGCGACAUACCCGCAGCUAGACGGAAAGACCCCGUGAACCUUAACUGCAGCUUGGUAUUGGGUUUAGGCCCAGCAUGCGUAGCGUAGGUGGGACUCUAUGAAGCGAUACUUUCGGGUGUCGUGGAGAGGCCGAUGAAACACCACCCUUGCUGUGCUUGAAUUCUAACCUCGGCCGGUGAAACCCGGCGAGGGACCGUGCUAAGUGGGCAGUUUGAUUGGGGCGAUCUCCUCCCAAAGAGUAACGGAGGAGUCCAAAGGUACCCUCAGCCCGGUUGGCAAUCGGGCGUCGAGCGUAAAGGUAGAAGGGUGCUUGACUGCGAGGGAGAUAUCCCGAGCAGGUAGGAAAGUAGGGCUUAGUGAUCCGGUGGUUCCGAAUGGAAGGGCCAUCGCUCAACAGAUAAAAGGUACUCCGGGGAUAACAGGCUUAUCUCCUCUGAGCGUUCAUAGCGGCGAGGAGGUUUGGCACCUCGAUGUCGGCUCAUCACAUCCUGGGGGUGGAGAAGCUCCCAAGGGUUCGGCUGUUCGCCGAUGAAAGUGGUACGUGAGCUGGGUUUAGACCGUCGUGAGACAGGUCGGUCCCUAUCUGCUGUGGGCGUUGGAUGUUUGAGAGGCUUUCUCCCUAGUACGAGAGGACUGGGAGGGACGCACCUCUGGUGUACCAGUUAUGACGCUAGUUGUAUCGCUGGGUAGCCACGUGCGGAAUGGAUAAACGCUGAAGGCAUAUAAGCGUGAAACUUCCCUCGAGAUAAGACAUCCUGGCAAGAAGGCUCCUGGAAGACUACCAGGUCGAUAGGCCGGGUGUGUAAGUGCAGCAAUGCACUCAGCUAACCGGUACUAAUAGCCGAACGCUUGGCCAC